UACGGGGGGGGCAAGCGUUGUCCGGAAUUACUGGGCGUAAAGAGCUCGUAGGUGGUUUGUCGCGUUGUUCGUGAAAACUCACAGCUCAACUGUGGGCGUGCGGGCGAUACGGGCAGACUAGAGUACUGCAGGGGAGACUGGAACUCCUGGUGUAGCGGUGGAAUGCGCAGAUAUCAGGAGGAACACCGGUGGCGAAGGCGGGUCUCUGGGCAGUAACUGACGCUGAGGAGCGAAAGCGUGGGGAGCGAACAGG
rnacentral:rRNA from 1 species